CCGCCAACUUCACCUGCGCGGUGGCUUCAGGCACCACCUGCAAGUCCGCCAUCCUCUACACCUCCCCCAACGCCACCACCUACGGCAACCUCGUCGCCCGCUUCAACACCACCACCCUCCCCGACCUCCUCGGCGCCAACGGCCUCCCCGACGGCACGCUUUCCUCCGCCCCCGUCGCCGCCAAUUCCACCGUCAAAAUCCCCUUCCGCUGCCGCUGCAACGGCGACGUCGGCCAGUCGGACCGCCUCCCCAUCUACGUCGUGCAGCCGCAGGACGGGCUCGACGCCAUCGCGCGCAACGUGUUCAACGCCUUCGUCACCUACCAGGAGAUCGCCGCCGCGAACAACAUCCCCGACCCCAACAAGAUAAAUGUCAGCCAGACGCUGUGGAUUCCGCUGCCCUGCAGCUGCGACAAGGAGGAAGGCUCUAACGUGAUGCACCUCGCCUACAGCGUCG
rnacentral:lncRNA from 1 species